rnacentral:rRNA from 1 species
CCUACGGGAGGCAGCAGUGAGGAAUAUUGGUCAAUGGGCGAGAGCCUGAACCAGCCAAGUAGCGUGAAGGAUGACGGCCCUAUGGGUUGUAAACUUCUUUUAUAUGGGAAUAAAGUGAGGCACGUGUUCCUUUUUGUAUGUACCUUAUGAAUAAGGAUCGGCUAACUCCGUGCCAGCAGCCGCGGUAAUACGGAGGAUCCGAGCGUUAUCCGGAUUUAUUGGGUUUAAAGGGAGCGUAGGUGGGUAAUUAAGUCAGUUGUGAAAGUUUGUGGCUCAACCAUAAAAUUGCAGUUGAAACUGGUUGUCUUGAGUACAGUUGAGGUAGGCGGAAUGCGUGGUGUAGCGGUGAAAUGCAUAGAUAUCACGAAGAACUCCGAUUGCGAAGGCAGCUUACUGGACUAUAACUGACACUGAGGCACGAAAGCGUGGGGAUCAAACAGGAUUAGAUACCCGAGUAGUC